rnacentral:rRNA from 1 species
AACGAUUUCAACCUAUUUUCAAACUUUCAAUGGUUGCGAAGUUUAACUUAUUGAAAAUUUUACUCUCUAAAGUUAAACAUAACAAAAAUUAUAAAUUAAAAAAGUAUGAAUAGUGCCUAGUGGGCCAUUUUUGG